rnacentral:rRNA from 1 species
CCCCCCGGCCCUUGUUUAUCAAAAACAUGUCUUUUUAGAAUUUAAUAUAAAGUCUGACCUGCCCACUGAAAAUAUUUUGAAGGGCCGCAGUAUUUUGACUGUGCAAAGGUAGCAUAAUCAUUAGUCUUUUAAUUGAAGGCUGGUAUGAAUGGUUGGAUGAGGUACAUGCUGUGUCAUAAAAAUUAAUAAUUGAAUUUACCUUUUUAGUCAAAAGGCUAAAAUUUUUUUAAAAGACGAGAAGACCCUAUAGAGCUUUAUAUAACUAAUAUUUAAUUUAUUUAGAUUUUUAAAAUUUAAUUGUUAAGUUGUAUUUUGUUGGGGUGACAAUAAAAUUUAUAAAACUUUUAUUUUUAUUUAACAUUAAUUUAUGAUUAAAUGAUCCAGUUUUAUUGAUUAUAAAAUUAAGUUACCUUAGGGAUAACAGCGUAAUUUUUUUUGAGAGUUCUUAUCGACAAAAAAGAUUGCGACCUCGAUGUUGGAUUAAGAGUAAUUUUGGGUGUAGAAGUUCAAAGUUUAAGUCUGUUCGACUUUUAAAUUCUUACAUGAUCUG